UCUCACGAGUUUAACACACGCGCUCACGUGACCCGCUGCAGCCUAUCGCGUGACCCGCUGCAGCCUGUCACAUGACCCGCUGCAGCCUAUCGCGCUCUAUAUGAUCCACCGUCCCAAGAUGGCUGCCAGGUGCGGUGGCUAAGCCUGGGCACAUCUGAAGCCGGUGCCGACCAUCAGGGCCGAGUUGCGACGAGAGAGUGUUAUUAAGCCGAGUUGGCCAGGUCCCUAAGUCUUGGAUGGCGAGCUGUAGAUAGGCCUUGAGCCUGAGCCCAAGGAUCUCCACCUCUCAACCCCUGAACUCCACCUGCUCUGGUCGGGCCGGUAGGCGGCUUAUAGCCGAACCCCUUGCCUUGCACCUCAUUUCUCUGCAGCCCUUUGCACUACCUCAUACACACCCUGCCCAUAAACUGAACUGUCAUAUCCACAACCCCAACCCUGGGACCCCAUUUUGAAAAUUC